CUUGGGUAGCAUCAACUACGAGCAUGGCUGCCCCAGAGCCAUUUCCUAGCACGGUAUUAGCCGGGGAACCUCUGUUUGGGUUGUUUUUAGGAACUCAGGAAGACAGGGUCGUCCCACAAGGAGCAGGAUCAGCAGUCCUGACCCUAAAACCAGGCUCCCCUCCCCACGGGUCUGUGCAAGGAGGCAUUCUAAGCGGUUUAUUUGCUAACUCAACUUUAUCUUAACCCAUUUCAAAGAUGGAGAUCAAUGUGAGUCCAAUCCCUGUUUGAAUGGCGGCAUAUGCAAGGAUGACAUUAAUUCCUAUGAAUGCUGGUGUCAGACUGGAUUUGAAGGGAAGAACUGUGAGUUAGAUGUAACGUGCAACAUUAAGAAUGGCAGGUGCAAGCAGUUUUGUAAAUUGGAUGCUGAUAACAAGGUGGUUUGUUCCUGUACUACCGGAUAUCAACUUGCGGAGGACCAAAAGUCCUGUGAACCAGCAGUGCCAUUUCCAUGCGGAAGAGUUUCUGUCCCACACAUUUCUACGACGCACACCCGCGCUGAAACUCUUUUUCUCAAUACGGACUAUGAAAAUUCCACUACGGACUAUGAAAACUCCGCUGAAGCUGAAAAAAAUGUGGAUAACGUCACCCAACCAUUGAACGACUUGACUCGAAUUGUUGGUGGAAAAACCGCCAAACCAGGUCAAUUCCCUUGGCAGGUACUCUAUAUUAAUGGUGAAAGGGAAA